rnacentral:rRNA from 1 species
GGGUUGUGAGGUUAAGCGACUAAGCGUACACGGUGGAUGCCCUGGCAGUCAGAGGCGAUGAAGGACGUGCUAAUCUGCGAUAAGCGCCGGUAAGGUGAUAUGAACCGUUAUAACCGGCGAUUUCCGAAUGGGGAAACCCAGUGUGACUCGUCACACUAUCAUUAACUGAAUCCAUAGGUUAAUGAGGCGAACCGGGGGAACUGAAACAUCUAAGUACCCCGAGGAAAAGAAAUCAACCGAGAUUCCCCCAGUAGCGGCGAGCGAACGGGGAGGAGCCCAGAGCCUGAAUCAGCAUGUGUGUUAGUGGAAGCGUCUGGAAAGGCGCGCGAUACAGGGUGACAGCCCCGUACACAAAAGCGCAUAUGCUGUGAGCUCGAUGAGUAGGGCGGGACACGUGGUAUCCUGUCUGAAUAUGGGGGGACCAUCCUCCAAGGCUAAAUACUCCUGACUGACCGAUAGUGAACCAGUACCGUGAGGGAAAGGCGAAAAGAACCCCGGCGAGGGGAGUGAAAAAGAACCUGAAACCGUGUACGUACAAGCAGUGGGAGCCCCACCACUAAGCCAGUGGUGAACUCCACAUACGCAUCCUUUGCUGAGGAUACGGUUAACGGAGCGAAAGCGACGUUCAACCGCAAAAGAAGCAGAGGGGGCUUAGUGGUGGGGUGACUGCGUACCUUUUGUAUAAUGGGUCAGCGACUUAUAUUCUGUAGCAAGGUUAACCGAAUAGGGGAGCCGGAGGGAAACCGAGUCUUAACCGGGCGUUAAGUUGCAGGGUAUAGACCCGAAACCCGGUGAUCUAGCCAUGGGCAGGUUGAAGGUUGGGUAACACUAACUGGAGGACCGAACCGACUAAUGUUGAAAAAUUAGCGGAUGACCUGUGGCUGGGGGUGAAAGGCCAAUCAAACCGGGAGAUAGCUGGUUCUCCCCGAAAGCUAUUUAGGUAGCGCCUCGUGAAUUCAUCUCCGGGGGUAGAGCACUGUUUCGGCUAGGGGGCCAUCCCGGCUUACCAACCCGAUGCAAACUGCGAAUACCGGAGAAUGUUAUCACGGGAGACACACGGCGGGUGCUAACGUCCGUCGUGAAGAGGGAAACAACCCAGACCGCCAGCUAAGGUCCCAAAGUCAUGGUUAAGUGGGAAACGAUGUGGGAAGGCCCAGACAGCCAGGAUGUUGGCUUAGAAGCAGCCAUCAUUUAAAGAAAGCGUAAUAGCUCACUGGUCGAGUCGGCCUGCGCGGAAGAUGUAACGGGGCUAAACCAU